AAGCGACACAGCAGAACUGUAUUAGCAAUCAGAGGAGGUUUGACAGUACUGCACUGAAACUGGUUCAUAAUUCCGUAGUUCUAUAUAUAGAUACAGGAGGCAUCUGUCAGCUAAUAAGUUUUAUGAUCAUCUAUUUUCAGAAAAUGUUAAACCUCCAAUUUAUAACUUUCUGGACAGGACUGGAAUAAUAACUGAAAUCUAAAAUGAACCGAUUCCUGAUCUUAACAGCAGCCAACAGCUGAGUCUGUAGAGUUAGAGGUUGCAAAGCCUUUGAAUAUUUUUGCAUCGUCUGUUGCCAAUUCUCCACUUAACGCGAAGUGAUUAUGAAUAGUCCACUGAGCUCCAGGUGAUACUCAGAGCAGUCGAGCUGUUCAGUGUCUGGGUUACAAUUGAUCUUUGGGAUGUCAAAGCGGAACCUUGGUCAUCAGAGCGAGGGGGUGUGAUGGCCCUCCCGCUGUACAGAGGGAUGUCCUUGUCAAGCACAGCGGCAGACAGCCGGCUGACAGUGGAGGGCUGUUAGUUCAUCUAGUUCACCCGGGCUCCGAGGCUCCUCCCUCAGCUGACAUCCGCUCUGCAUCGUCUUCUUUUCCAUGUGCACUCUCAACACCUCCACGGCACAUAACGCACACGUCCAUGCUUUCAUUGCAGGUGUUGCUGAUCUCCCACCCUGUUUUUCAUUCUGUAUUGACUUUGGUUUUUAUAUAAAUUGCAGUUAUUUCAGUAAAAAGUCAUGUGUGGAUUCCCUGUGGAAAAAUGCACAAAGACAACACAGAAAGGGAUAAUCAGCUGAGACAAUCAAUACUCACUAGGGAAGCUGCACAUAAUCUCAGCGUGAUAUGUCCUCUCUCUCCCCAACCACCACCAUGUACACAUACAUUACAUCCCCUACACACGAGUUAGAGCAGUGGUAUAGAACUAAACCUGUAACGUAAAAAUAAAAGCUUUAUCAUUCACCAU